AUCUAUUAGGUAGUUUUUAUUUCAUGCAAUUGAGUUUCUAAGUAUCUUUUUAUUUUUGGAAGUUUAUUCUCUUUAAGUGUAAGGCCAUUGGCCAUUGUUUAUUUUCAAUUUAAUGAAGAAUAUUGAAAACAAGAAUAAACCCCCAACCCCUCACGGUUCUCUCUCUCUCUCGUUCUCUCAUCUUUCUCUCUCGCCUCUUUCCUCCCUUACUCUCUCGGCUCUCUCUUCUCUCAAUCUUCUUGUCUCCUCCCUCUCUUUCUUUUCAGUCUUAUCUCUUUUUUUUUCUGCUGCUGUGUUGUUACUACUGCACCUGCUACCUUACCUCACUGCUGCUGCAACACAUUACUGGCGUUACAAAAUUGCUGCUGCUGCACCUGCUGCCUUACCUCACUGCUGCUGCAACAUAUUCCUGCUGUUAUAAAAUUGCUGCUGCAACAUAUUUCUGCCGGUACAAAAUUGCUCUGCUGCACACUGCUGCCUUUACACCACUGCUGCUACUCUCUCUACAAUUGGCUGGAUGUAUCUUCUUCAACAAAAAGUGGACUACAACCUCUUUAUUUUGGAGAACCUGGAUUUCUUCUUCUCUCCUCAGAUCUGAAUAGCAGUAUGAUAAGGGAUUCAGAUAGUCAGACUGAUGGUGUUCCAAAAGAUUGGGUCUCAUGUUUCUUGUGCCUUUCCGAAGAGAAUCAGUGAAAGAAAAUUAUCACCAUUCAAAUUGUAUGAUUUCCUUUUCAGAAGAGUUUUCAAUAAGGACAAGAGAAACAGAUGUUUUGAGGUCGUAGAGCACACUUGUAAAAGGUAGUGUCUCAUAUCUAUUUUAACAAAGGUUUUGUAUUAUUCUACCACCACAUAGAAAUGUUCACUUUAUGAAUGAUCUAGGAAUUGUAAUUCUUCGGCAUUUCUGGAAGUUUAUAUGUUGGGAAAUUGAGUCUUGUUAGACCA